GGUCCCGUAGCUUAGUUGGUAAAGCGUUUGGCUAAUAAAUUCGUAAAUUAAACAGAGGGUUGAUCCUCUAUAAUUCAGCGUUUAUUAGGCACCAAAAGAGCCUGGGUUCGAGCCCCAGCGGGACCA
rnacentral:tRNA from 1 species